UCGAACGAUGAACCNGCUUCGGUGGGGGAUUAGUGGCGAACGGGUGAGUAACACGUGGGCAAUCUGCCCUGCACUCUGGGACAAGCCCUGGAAACGGGGUCUAAUACCGGAUAAUACUGCGGACCGCAUGGUCUGCGGUUGAAAGCUCCGGCGGUGCAGGAUGAGCCCGCGGCCUAUCAGCUUGUUGGUGGGGUGAUGGCCUACCAAGGCGACGACGGGUAGCCGGCCUGAGAGGGCGACCGGCCACACUGGGACUGAGACACGGCCCAGACUCCUACGGGAGGCAGCAGUGGGGAAUAUUGCACAAUGGGCGAAAGCCUGAUGCACCGACGCCGCGUGAGGGAUGACGGCCUUCGGGUUGUAAACCUCUUUCAGCAGGGAAGAAGCGAAAGUGACGGUACCUGCAGAAGAAGCGCCGGCUAACUACGUGCCAGCAGCCGCGGUAAUACGUAGGGCGCAAGCGUUGUCCGGAAUUAUUGGGCGUAAAGAGCUCGUAGGCGGCUUGUCGCGUCAGAUGUGAAAGCCCGGGGCUUAACCCCGGGUCUGCAUUCGAUACGGGCAGGCUAAAGUGUGAUAGGGGAGAUCGGAAUUCCUGGUGUAGCGGUGAAAUGCGCAGAUAUCAGGAGGAACACCUGUGGCGAAUGCGGAUCUCUGGGCCAUUACUGACGCUGAUGAGCCAAAGCGUGGGGAGCGAACAGGAUU
rnacentral:rRNA from 1 species